GUUUUUUAAGUUCUCUUCGCUGGUAAAUAUAAAGGAUUUCAAAAAAGAAAUGACCUCAACACUUGAUGUUGAGGAUAUUAGUCUUGAAGAAAAUGUUAGAGAUCGAUCAAAACUUUUGGACAACAUAGCCCAGGACACCUUACAAGAAGUUGAAGAUGUUUGUAGUCCAAGUAAUCUUAAGUGUAAAGAUGUGGAUAUAGAUAGGAUGGAUGCCACAAGUAAGACAAUAUAUCUCUCCGAAACAAAUCUAGCCACUCUAAACGUGUUACCUGAAUCCAGGAGUUCUCGCAGAGCAUCAUUCAAACAGAAGAAUUAUAUCAUCCUUUCAGAACAGCUUCAAAAGGCGAAAGCAGCUGUCACCGGUCAUAAAAUAGAUGUACCAGAAGUUGUCCUCUCUGUAGCACUAUAUCAUCCCGUGAAGUUAAGAAAAGUUCAAGAAUUUUUGGUACUUGGAAGACAGACAUUAACUGAUUUACGUGACAAAAUAUAUUGUCCCGCGGAUUCUAUUGUUGUCGGGGAGCACAGCGAGAAUCCCGAUUUUGCAAGAAUCGCUACAGGCAAGGAUAUUUGCCCGUCUGCUUUUAUAUUCAUUGAGAGUGUUUUCUACAAUGACACAAGAAGCGAUUUAUGUCGAGAUUAUAGCAAACUCAUAAUGGAUUGGACUAACAAAAAACACAAUGGCGAGCUACCUCGAUACGGUGUUUGUUCAAGCAAGAAAAUGGAAGAGACAAAGUUUGAGGAUUUAACAAUUAAACUUGGCUAUCCCUAUGUUUUUGUGCACCAGGGUGAUUGUGAGCAUUUGCUAUUGUUUCGUGAUUUAAGAAUGUUACAUGCGGAUGAUCCACAAGAUGUUUGUAACUAUCCAUUUCACAUAUUUCGUCCACGACCAAAGAGACAAAGAUGUAUGAUUUGUUCAAUAUACAGCGCCAGGUGGCUAACGCGAGAUGAUCUAUUAAUGUCGGAAGACCCAAGUUUGUUUUGUGAAAAAUGCUUCAAGGCUUUACACUACAGGGACAAUCAGAAAGCGUAUCCAUUCAGUGCUUAUCAAUACUCUGGCGACUAUUACUGGUAAUCACAGGAAAUGAAUUAAUGAUGCUUUUUCCAAAAAAUCGUCAUCCCCACAAAUUUACUUGUGUGCAAAGCCCGACUGGUUAUGGAUGGAUGAAGGCGUCGACGCUUCAGUUUCAGUGUGAAAGUUGUGUUGUAAAUUGGAGCCCUCAUUCUGCUGCGUUAGGCAACAACCCUCUGCAGUCAAAUUUGUUUCCGCAACAACUUGGUCAUAUCUGUGCGCAGAGAGAGAAGAGAGAGAGA
rnacentral:misc_RNA from 1 species